ACUGUAGGAACAAAAUGCAAGGUAGAAACUUCAUUAGUGGUCCGCUAAUUUAGAUAGGGUUUCGUAUUGGGUUCGGGUUGGGGGUUAAGAGGCGGUUGUGAUAUGUGGUGAGAGACAUUAAGCAUGCAACAAUCAAAUCAAAGUCAUUCAAACUAAACACAGAAACUAACUAAAAAUGUACUUUAAAACUACAAGGAGUAGGACAAUAAAGGAGCAGUCUCUUACGACAAUCUCAAAGAUAAGUUUCGGACAAAUCUUAACAAAAUUAAACAAAAAAAAUACAUUUUCUUCUAUACUUUUUGCUUUUCUGGAUACCUAAAGCAGGUUUCUUAAUUCCCAUGUCCUUAUUUGUUUGAUUACAAAUAAUAUUAGGAUUUAACUUCUUGAUUUAAAUAUGUAAAUAAUAUAAAGUUUAAAAAGAAAACAGUUUCGAAGCGACUAAAAAUAUAUCGAAAAUAAAAGGCUACCAAAACUGUAACAAUUGUGGCAAUAAUUUAAAUCAGACUUUAUUGGAGAAUAUGAAGAAACUGAGUCCCUAAUCCGACCUCAGACUCGAGUGUCCCUUUACGCUAAAUUAAAAAAUAUAUCUGAAUCACAUUUCAAACAUGCUCGACUUUAAAAAGGGUACCAUUUUGAAUUGAUCUUUAAAGAAUUAGCCAGAAAAUGAUUCAAAUUGCCAUUCUGUAACAUUUCAGAGCACAAUCCCUAAAAAUAAGUGGUAUUCCCUUUUGUCUAAAAUAUAGUUUUUAUGGCGUUCCUUUUUUGAUAUUUAAAAAAAAAUUAAAUGUUUUAUAACUACUUGGAAAUACUCGAUAUGCCUACAUAGUACAUAUACUCGUAGUUCCAAGUAUUUCCCUAGUACCCAGGGGUCAGCAGGGGUCAGAGCUCAAACCACAUCCCAUCUUUGCAAUGAAAUGAUAAGAAAUCGAACAGAAA